rnacentral:rRNA from 1 species
UGGGUAACCUGCCUCAAAGAGGGGAAUAGCCUCCCGAAAGGGAGAUUAAUACCGCAUAAUAUGUUUAAGUCGCAUGACUUUAACAUCAAAGGAUUUUCUUUUAGAACUUCCACUUUGAGAUGGACCCGCGGCGCAUUAGCUAGUUGGUGAGGUAACGGCUCACCAAGGCAACGAUGCGUAGCCGACCUGAGAGGGUGAUCCGGCCACAUUGGAACUGAGACACGGUCCAGACUCCGUAGGGAGG